rnacentral:lncRNA from 1 species
UGCAUGUGACGCAGCUUUUAAAAAAGGAGACGGAGGCAGAGACCCCAGAGAGGGAGGGCGAAGGGGAGGGCUUGGAGGCGCAGCCGCGCGCUCGGUGUCCGUCCUCCGGGUGCCGCCGGAUGGGGAGUCUGGCUGAGCCGGAGCGGGAGCCGCGGCUGGGGGAGGCGGAGCCGGGGUGGGCAGUGUGGUGUAUCUCUCUCCACCCCGGGCCGCGCUCCGGGAGGGAAAAGGGACUGCAGACCCCCUGUCCGUGCUCCCUGCUGAGACGCCAGCCUUCUUCUGGAGGCCCCUUGUUUCGCGUCCCUACCCUAGGCUGGAUGGCUGCUGUCCUUUGAGGGCUUCGGAGAUGAGAACAGGAAACAGGCCCCUCCAGU